UGCUAGGUCUCCUGCCCACGUACGAAUCGGUCCCUUUGUGUGAACGGACAGCCACUUUUGACGGCCUCAUAAAACAGAUGAAGUUUCCAUCGUAAAAUUUCUGGAUCACAGACACCAGCUCAUGUUCCCUCUUCCCAUUAAGGAGCUGGGCUUCUGAUUUAUGUUCUCCAGGCUUUGUGUCACCUGUUCCCAAAACUGUAACUCACAUGAUGAAUAUCCCUAAGCGCUCUCCACGGUGUUAAAAAGCGAAGCGGAGUCCUGGUGUCCUCUUGCUAAGUUUGGAAGGAAACCAGAGGCCCUUCCUUUCCAUUUGGCAGCCUGCCAGGGCAUGACCUCUGUUCAGAAGCCAACAAGGAGCAUGAUUUUAAAAAUGGCCUAUUAAAAGCUUUAACCAGACUCUCCCAGCAAGACUAAGUGCCCACCAUGGAACAAUUAACGGUGGAGCGGGGACGCUCAGCCUUCUCGCACGCUGUCUGCGAGGACGGUGGAGUGGGGACGCUCAGCCUUCUCCCAUGCUGUCUAGGAGGACGGUGGAGCGGGGAUGCUCAGCCUUCUCGCACGCUGUCUAGGAGGACGGUGGAGCGGGGAUGCUCAGCCUUCUCCCAUGCUGUCUAGGAGGACGGUGGAGCGGGGACGCUCAGCCUUCUCCCAUGCUGUCUAGGAGGACGGUGGAGGGGGGACACUCAGCCUUCUCGCACGCUGUCUGGGAGGACGGUGGAGGGGGGAUGCUCAGCCUUCUCCCAUGCUGUCUAGGAGGACGGUGGAGCAGGGAUGCUCAGCCUUCUCCCAUGCUGUCUGGGAGGACGAUGGAGCGGGGAUGCUCAGCCUUCCAUGCUGUCUGGGAGGACGGUGGAGCGGGGAUGCUCAGCCUUCCAUGCUGUCUGGGAGGACGGUGGAGCGGGGAUGCUCAGCCUUCUCCCAUGCUGUCUGGGAGGACGGUGGAGCGGGGAUGCUCAGCCUUCUCCCAUGCUGUCUGGGAGGACGGUGGAGCGGGGAUGCUCAGCCUUCUCCCAUGCUGUCUGGGAGGACGGUGGAGCGGGGAUGCUCAGCCUUCUCCCAUGCUGUCUGGGAGGACACGCUGCUCACGGAAUAAAAGCAGGGCACGCCGAGGGCGCCUGGAAAAUGACUUCUCUCCUUGCAGAAUUCCUAUUUAA
rnacentral:lncRNA from 1 species